UUCACACUGGUUCUUCCACUUCAGCUGGAGGUUAGGAUGAGUGCUCUCAAGGGUCUCCUCAAACUGGGAGAUCAUCUGGUUUUAUUCACGUGAAACUUUUCAUUUUGCAGGAAUAGAAACAAUCUAAGAAGCAUAAAGGCAGAAAAGUGAGAAAGGUUGUGAUGCCUUGAAGAGUUGACUUAGAGCAUAUCAAGAUGUACUGUGGUGUCAUAGAGUCAUGGGAAAGAAACUGAUGUCACAAUGGAAUAGUAGGCUAAGAUCACCAUGAAAAAGAUCCAGUGCACUCUCCUAAAGAGACUGAAUGAUGAUCCCAGGAACCAACGUGGCAGCUCGGAGUGGGAAAGUCAUUGGUGUACCAGCACUAGGCAGUGCAGCUGCAGACACACAGUGAUACCAAGUAAUGUGGCAGGCCUCCUUUUAAGUGCAUCAAGUGGAGGCCUAGACAGCAGGGGCACAAUUUAAAUAAAAUCUUCCUGAU
rnacentral:lncRNA from 1 species